rnacentral:lncRNA from 1 species
CCGGGGGCGAGGGGCGGGAUUGUGGUACCCGAGGCUCCCGAGACCUCUGCACCUGGCCGCGCGGGGGCACUGUGGAGCGACCCAGCCAGCUCCCGCCUCCCAGCCUUGCUUAGUCGCUGUCCUUUAACCCUCCACUGUCCCUCGCAGGGGCAAGGGGGCGGGGUCCGGCGCCGAGCGUGAUAGGGCAGGCAAGCGAGCGCCCAGGUGAGUUCUUCCAGCACCGCUGGGCCCCGGGGAGGACUGAGUCUGAGCCCGCAGAAGAGGCACAAGAGGAGAUGCCGUUGUCGCCACCAUCGCAGGGCGACCCCAGGGAGGCCAGCCCGUCCAAGGCCCCCAAGAAACACCCCACCUUCCAUAUCUGGCGCUCCAAGAAGAAGCAGUCUCCAUCGUCCAGCUGUGGGGUGUUUAUCCCUCACCCGCCCGGGGCUUUCGGGGAGACCAGACCUUUGGCAUCCAUCUAACACAACUCCUGU